GUGACGUUAGAGUAGUGGUUCAACUCAUCUCCCUCCCACUUGAGAUAAUUCCAUCUCGAGCUCCAAAGGGGUCAGGAGAAGACCCGGGUUCAAACCCCGGACGUCGCA